GAUGAACGCUGGCGGCGUGCUUAAUACAUGCAAGUCGAGCGAACAGACGCUGCGCUUGCUCCUCUCUCGUUAGCCGCGCACGUGUGUGUAACACGUGGAUCAUCCCCCUAUCAGUCUGGGAUCACCUCGGGACUCCGGCGCUAAUCCCGGAUAAUAUCUUGCACCACAUGGUUCAAUAGUAAAAGACGGUUUUGCUGUCACUUAUCGAUGCUUCUGCGCCGCAUUAGCUAGUUGUUAAGGUAAAGGCUUACCAAGGCAACGAGGCGUAGCCGACCUGAGAGGGGGAUCGGCGACACGGGAACUGAGACACGGUCCAGACUCCUACGGGAGGCAGCAGUAGGGAAUCUUACGCAAUGGGCGAAAGCUUGACGGAGCAACGCCGCGUGAGUGAUGAAGGUCUUCGGAUCGUAAAACUCUGUUAUUAGGGAAGAACAAAUGUGGAAGUAACUAAGCACGUCUUGACGGUACCUAAUCAGAAAGCCACGGCUAACUACGUG
rnacentral:rRNA from 1 species